GUAAAGGGCGCGUAGGCUGACAGUUUAGGCAGAGGUAAAAGCCCAGGGCUCAACCUUGGAACUGCCUUUGAUACUGGCUGUCUUGAGUAUGGAAGAGGUAUGUGGAACUCCGAGUGUAGAGGUGAAAUUCGUAGAUAUUCGGAAGAACACCAGUGGCGAAGGCGACAUACUGGUCCAUUACUGACGCUGAGGCUCGAAAGCGUGGGGAGCAAACAG
rnacentral:rRNA from 1 species